ACAAACACAAGGUUAAACACCUAAACCUAUUAAUGGUGUAUUUUAAUUAUUAAGGGAUUUUUUUUAUAUUCCUUUUUAAUAAUUAAGGGUUCAAAAGGUCAUUUUGAGUUUCCAUUUUUCUGGUUUAUUUAUUUCAACUUGUAAUUUUUUUUUUUUAAUUUUUUUUUGAAUUUCUUAACCAGUCUCAAAUGUACCUUUAAAAAUUGGAGGGAGUUAAUUGUAACAUUUGCAUUUCCGUUCCACCCUAAACCCUCUGAAAAAAACAAAAAUAAUAAAAUAAAAUAAAAAAUAGGGUUUUUAUUUGGCUUUCCCUUUCCACACUAAACUUUCCGUCAAAAUCUGUGAUUUCAUUUGAGAGCAGUGGGAGAAAAGCGCGGGGAAAUGACGGCGGCGAGCGUUGGUAGUUCGGGAAUAGUGCUAUCGCAUCCGGUGACAUUCGUGACCGGCAACGCCUAAAAGCUCGAGGAAGUCCGAGCCAUCCUGGGGAACUCCAGUCUCUCAAGAUAGACUGUACUCCUUUUUGUAUGUUUCUCACCCACCCAUUUUCGAAUUCUGCCUUUUUUCCUUCACUGCCAGAACUCUAAGGCGAACCUGAAAAUAUCUCCAAAGAAAAGACUCGAUUGGCUGCAAAAGAGGUGAAAGGGCCCGUGCUGGUGGAAGACGCUUGCCUCAUUUUUAAUGCCCUUAAUGGUAUCCCAGUGGUUUCUGCAGAAGAUUGGUCGCGAAGGACUGAACAAUUUGUUGAUCGCAUAUGAGGAUAAAUCAGCCUAUACUGUUUGUGUAUUUUCUUUUGCUCUUGGGCCAAACGCAGAUCCGAAAACUUUCCUCGGAAAAACUACGGAAAGGUCCUCCAGUUCCUGAAAUCCAUGCUCCUCCUUUGCUAGCACUAAGCACACUCUAUUGCUUUGGGGGUCCGACAAGGUUCAGAUACAGUAAAAGGGGAAGAUAGUUCCUCCAAAGGGACCUAAGGAUUUCGGAUGGGAUCCAGUUUUUCAACCCGAUGGAUAUGAUCAAACUUAAACCCAUAUAUCUUUCUAUUUUGUUUGUUUUACUCAGUGGUAGGCUCUAUAUUGCUGGUACGGACUCAACACGGCUAACUGUUGUUGCUGUUGUAGUUACGCCGAAAUGCCCAAGGAAGAAAAGAACAAAAUUUCUCACCGCUCCAAGGCUCUUGCACUGGUGAAAUCCCACUUUGCUGAGACUGGGUACACUUUCCUAAUGGACCCCUCUAUUUAAGAGUGAGCUAUAAACUGUCAUCUUGCGCAAUUAAACAGUUUCAAGCUCUUGUCAAUGGUGGCGAUGCUUACAUUUUUCUCUAAUGCUGUGAAGAAAAGUAUAUAUUGGAGUAUAUUUUCCUAUUUCGGAAAUCAAGAAAUGGAGAAUAUGUUUUGCAGGUGUGAUUGGCUGGUGAAACCGUGAAAGUCAGAAAAAAGGAGUAUUUAUUACGCAAUACCUAUAGUUACUUAAAUAUUAGGAGUCAAAAGACCAUAAAAGUUGGUAUUCACAGCAUCCCCGUCAAAAAUACACUAUACGGUUUCCACAAGUCAUAAUCUAUGGUGGAAGAACCGAAGAAGGUGAACCAAGGGUUUGGGACUAUACCAUAUCCCAAGAGGUAAAGGGCUCUUGAAUCUCUACAAUUCAUCAUAGUCUUUAAAUAAAUUUUCAUUUAUGGUUUUUGAAAAUAGUAAUUGUCUCUAAACAAACCAAUUAAAUGUUUUCAUACUUCCCAAAAUUUGAAAAACCCAUUUUUAAAUAAAUGGUAUAAGAGCCUACUUGGUUUUUGGGUAGAAAUGAAUUUUUAAAAAGAUCCAAUCAUAUAUGUUGCAUGUAUGGUUGUAUUUAUUUAUUUUGAUUAAAUAAUUAGAGAGUACCUAUGGGUGUGUCCAUGGAUGAGAUUUGUAUUAAACUAUUUAAAAUGUUCAAAGCCUCCUUUAUAAGGUUUUUUUUUUUU